rnacentral:rRNA from 1 species
UCAUACUGCGUGGAGAAUAAGGCUCGUGGGCUGUAAACUCCUUUUCCUAGAGAAGAAGUCUGACGGUAUCUAGGGAAUAAGCAUCAGCUAACUGCGUGCCAGCAGCUGCGGUAAUACGUGGGAUGCAAGCGUUAUCCGGAUUUAUUGGGCGUAAAGCGUCUGUAGGUGGCUUCGCAAGUUUGAUGUUAAAUCAUUCAGCUUCACUGAAUUUAAGCAUCAAAAACUAUGGAGCUUGAGUGUGGUAGAGGAAAAGGGAAUUCCCUGUGGAGCGGUGAAAUGCGUAGAGAUAGGGAAGAACACCAAUGGCGAAAGCACUUUUCUGGGCCUGCACUGACACUGAGAGACGAAAGCUAGGGGAGCGAGUAGGAUUAGAUACCCUAUUAGUCCUAGCCGUAAACGAUGGAAACUACAUUUUGGGGCUCUGGAGGUUUUUCCUCGUAUUCUUCAGAAUGGAAGCUAACGCGUUAAGUUUCCCGCCUGGGAAGUAUGCUCGCAAGAGUGAAACUCAAAGGAAUUGACGGGAGCCCGCACAAGCGGUGGAGCAUGUGGUUUAAUUCGAUGCAACACGAAGAAUCUUUACAGGGGCUUGAGAUGUUCGUGAACGAGGAGGAAACUUCUCUGUGGCCUCGGGAACACGAUCACAGUGGUGCUUGCUGCCGCAGCUGUGAGGGGAUUGUCUGUGAGUCAGAUAGGAGCGCACCUGUGUUGGUCCACCUUGUUGGCAAGGCACUGUGGUAAAAUCCAGGGGGGAGGUGAUUCGGUACGCCCUUAGCCGUGUCCGGGUUGGGCCCCAGUUUCGGGCCCGUACA